rnacentral:tRNA from 1 species
UAGAUGGAAGCUUGUUGGUUUGAGCACUUAGCUGUUAACUAAGAGGUUGUAGGAUCGAGGCCUGCCCAUCUAG